rfam:Neisseria bacilliformis ATCC BAA-1200 genomic scaffold SCAFFOLD1, whole genome shotgun sequence.
UUUUCCCUGCGGCGUGCGCCAAGGCAUACAUUCCUUUGAACCAAUAAGUUCGCUUCAGGUCGUCGGGAGUGCGGCGGGCGCGAGCGUUCCUUUGGAAACGCACCCGAAGCCGUCCGAGACGGCCGCCUUGUUUGACAAGGUUCAAGCGGAUUGAGCUGAAACGCCGCCUGCGGGGAAUCC